UACGUAGGGUGCGAGCGUUAAUCGGAAUUACGGGGCGUAAAGCGUGCGCAGGCGGUCUGUUAAGACCGAUGUGAAAUCCCCGGGCUUAACCUGGGAACUGCAUUGGUGACUGGCAGGCUUUGAGUGUGGCAGAGGGAGGUAGAAUUCCACGUGUAGCAGUGAAAUGCGUAGAGAUGUGGAGGAAUACCGAUGGCGAAGGCAGCCUCCUGGGCCAACACUGACGCUCAUGCACGAAAGCGUGGGGAGCAAACAGG
rnacentral:rRNA from 1 species